CGCUGGCGGCGUGCCUAACACAUGCAAGUCGAACGAGAAAGUGGAGCAAUCCAUGAGUACAGUGGCGUACGGGUGAGUAACACGUGACUAACCUACCCUCGAGUGGGGAGUAACUUCGGGAAACCGAGGCUAAUACCGCAUAACAUCUACGGAUCAAAUGCGCAAGCAGCUUGAGGAGGGGGUCGCGGCUGAUUAGCUAGUUGGCGGGGUAACGGCCCACCAAGGCAAUGAUCAGUAGCCGGCCUGAGAGGGCGCACGGCCACACUGGAACUGAAACACGGUCCAGACUCCUACGGGAGGCAGCAGUGGGGAAUUUUGCGCAAUGGGGGAAACCCUGACGCAGCAACGCCGCGUGGAGGAUGAAGCCCCUUGGGGUGUAAACUCCUUUCGAUCGGGACGAUUAUGACGGUACCGGAUGAAGAAGCACCGGCUAACUCUGUGCCAGCAGCCGCGGUAAUACAGAGGGUGCAAGCGUUGUUCGGAAUUAUUGGGCGUAAAGGGUGCGUAGGCGGUGCGGUAAGUCUUCUGUGAAACCUCCGGGCUUAACUCGGAGCCUGCAGGGGAAACUGUCGUGCUGGAGUAUGGGAGAGGUGAGUGGAAUUCCCGGUGUAGCGGUGAAAUGCGUAAAUAUCGGGAGGAACACCUGUGGCGAAAGC
rnacentral:rRNA from 1 species